UAUCUCCCUACAGAAGAGGAAGAAACGUGGAGCAAAAACUCCUCAUUUUCUGCAAAACGUGGGAAGAUUACAGUCGUGGAAGAUUGCUGCACAGAUAGUGGGAGAAGUUAAGGGAAAGUGGAGGCCUCUACUCCCCCACGUAAAAACUCCAGAGCCUUCCAACCAUGCCUAUAAAUAAGUACUAGUUGCAGUACAAAAAAAAAAAAAAGGGAAACAAGAGGAAAGACUCUGCAGAAAUUGAGAGACGACGUUGAAGAACGGAAGAACAAAGCAAGAAAGCAAGGGGAAAACCAACAAAGCAUUCAAAAGCGAUAUACAAUGGAGAUUUCAGCAAAAUGCACCGAUUGGAUUCAACCCAAUUUCAAAAAGAAAGAAACCAGUUGCAUGGAUGCCCAAAAAAGUUUUUUACAUGGAAGGAUGUCACUUACCCAUCAUCCCCAGUGAUGGUUCGAGGUUCGUCGAUAACGCGAGGAUGAUUACAAAUAAAGCAACAACAUGGGUGCCUAAAGAAGUUUUUGCAUGGAAGGACAUCACCUACCCAUCGUGCCCAGGGAUGGUUCGAGGUUCGUCGAUAACGCGAGGAUGGUUACAAAUAAGGCAACAGUGACAAAUGCACACCAGCAACCACCGAGGACCUUUGUCCAAGUUGUUGCCGACUUCCUCAAGGUCCAGACAACCGCAACCCUCCCUCUCUGCCCAACUUGCCGUUACGACGCCGUCGAGCACCACCACUUCACACAAACACCAACGGCCAUAAUGAUCUCGCCGUCCUCAAACCCAGCGUUGAUGUUGCCCCGUUUUAGGAGCGCAGUCUAAAGUUGAAAUCGUUGCCGCUGUUCCGUUUUAGGAGCGCAGUCCGAAGUUAAAAUGAUUGCUGCUGCUCUGUUUUAAGAGCUCAGUUCGAAGAAACCGGCAUGCUGCUGUUGCUCUGUUUUAAGAGCUCAGUUCGAAAAAGAAACCUACGUGUUGCUGCUGUUCCGUUUUAGGGGCGCAGUUUGAAGACAUUGACGGUUGCUGCUGUUCCGUUUUAGGGGUGCAGUGCAAAGACAUUAGUAUUUUUGUUUCAGCUCCGUUUUAGGAGCACUCAAGGGAUUUGGCAGAAAGUCGGGGAAGGAAGUUGUAUAAAAAGAAUGAUACUUCCAGCAAAGAAAAAGAAACAACAACAAACCUCCGUCGUCGUCUUAGAGUUAAGAAGAAGAAGGAUUGCUAACCAAGUUUAAUCUGUUUAAAUUAGGAAGUGAAGGAAAUGGUCUCCAGCAAGCAAAUAAAAGGUGAAGAGGUGAAGUUUGUCGUAACACAUCCCUCCAAGUUUGUCGUGAAGUUUGUCAAAACAAUAUGAAAGCGAUGAUAUGGAGACCACUAAGUUUUAAAGUUAAGAGGGGAUCACGUGAAGAACAAAAGAAAGCCACCACUUCCCAUUUAAUUAUGGUCUUUGUAAAUUUUGCAUUCAAUCAAAAGCAUGGAGACAAAAUGACAAGAGUACAAAACAAAGUUUUGCCUCUUGUGGAAAACCAAUCACGGGAACAAAAGAGGUCCCAUUAAUUGAAUAGGGUGCAUGAAACAAUUAAUAUGGAGACAAAGUGAUAGGUGCUACAAGACAAAAGGAAAGAGAGGAUUUUUCAAGUUCUAUUUGAACUUGGAAGCCUUAAAAUCACAUGAAAAGAAAAAAAGUAAAAGUAAAUCUUGCUGUCAAGACGCUUGGAAGUCCCACUUUAUGACAAAGUACUAUUUCACUUUGAAUUGUGCAUCUCACAUGGAAUUUUGCUUAAGGAAAAGACAUUAUCCUAUUUCACAAACGA